rnacentral:rRNA from 1 species
GACGAACGCUGGCGGCGUGCAUAACACAUGCAAGUCAAGGGGGUCAGUAGCAAUACUGGCAACCGGCGAACGGGUGCGUAACACGUAAGCGACCUACCUCGAUGUGGGGCAUAGCCGGCCUAACGGCCGGGUAAUUCCGCAUGUGAUUCUGGAGAGGCAUCUCCCCGGAAUGAAACCAGUAAUGGGCAUUGAGAGGGGCUUGCGGCCUAUCAGCUUGUUGGGAGGUAACGGCUCACCAAGGCUACGACGGGUAGCUGGUCUGAGAGGAUGGCCAGCCACAUUGGGACUGAGAAACGGCCCAGACUCCUACGGGAGGCAGCAGUGGGGAAUCUUGCGCAAUGGUCUAACGACUGACGCAGCGACGCCGCGUGAGGGAUGAAGCUCUUCGGAGUGUAAACCUCUGUUGCCCGGGACGAAUAGCGGAUUAUUCCGACUUGACGGUACCGGGUGAGGAAGCACCGGCUAACUCCGUGCCAGCAGCCGCUGUAA